CAGAAAGUGAAUAUUCAAACAGUUGGGCCCAUUGCUGGCUUUGAAUUCUACAUUAAAUCAGAGAACAAUUGGAGGCUUCUGUAAUUUGGGUCCUCUGCAAUUUUUACUUCGAUUUUCCCUGUAAUUGCCCGUAAUGGUGAGCCAUUUAAUGUCUCAUAUAUAGCAAUGCAUAAGAGCACAAUGUCUUAGUGGAAUUUUCCAUUUUCAAACAGUCUGUAAUUCCACUUUCUGUUCAUCCUUAGAGUCUGUGAACAGUCACACUUCCCACUGUGGUUUGAAGUUCAGUCCCGGCGGGUGGCCAUCUUGGCUCAUCAACUGAGGGCCUGCAGUGACCACAGGGGAUGGAAAUGAACGGAGAACAUGAUCCCAUGAGCCAAAGUUCUGCUUCAGGACAGCCUCUGGGGCCACCUUUGACGUGGAGUCGCUGCACUGUACAGCUGCCUUCAGUCACUACCUUUUUUACAAGUUUAGUUAGUUAUUGAACAUGUUAACAUAUCAACUGAAUAUUAGUUGAUAUCGGAUGGUUUUAAUUCCUGCCCAUAAGUCAGUGGCUGAAGAAGAGUAGGCAAGAAAUCCUUGCAAGCUAAGAUACCUGUCAAAGAGAACAGCUUUAAGGAAAUCAAUGCACUGGGGAACCGGUUUGGUACCCCAAUCCUCUUCAUGACGGGAGACGAGCUUUUGUUAGCUCUCUCAGUGCAAACCUCCUCCA
rnacentral:lncRNA from 1 species